GAGCCCUAUGGCAGAGAAUUCAAAAGGCCCUAUCCCAAACUGCAUUUCCCAGACUUCUGCUCAGCAUCAGAAAACUCCAAUUAGGAUAGGGGAGAGAUUUUCUCCUCCUAGCAGCAGCCAGAGUUCUAAUGAAUUGUUGAAUCUGCAAAAAGGAGGACUGACUCAAUACAAAUACUUCUGCAGUUUGGUAUCUAACUGAAAGCGAUUGUGGAUUCAUCUACACAGGCCAACUGAGGUAAAAGAAGACUUUAUACAAUAGGAGCUGAGGCUACUAUAUAAAUUGGAUUUCCACAUGACCUUGGUAUCCCAAAGAAGGAGAAGAAAUCUAUCAUUAGAUUGUAAAACUCUGGUAGCUGUCACCAAUGGGGCCACAAGUCAAACCUUCAAAGAUAUUCAAUCAGUAUGUAAAGGGAUCUGAAAGCAAGAUAGUUUUCCUUCUAGCUCUGAGUCUUGGAUUUGGUUUCUCCUACCAUUGGAGUUUGACCUGGUUUAUUAAGGUCUCCAUCUUCACAUAUGAGCACUCCAGAACUACCUCAAACAAGAAGGCUGAUGAGCAUAGACUGGAUGAAACCUCAAUAGAAAUCUUGGUCCAGCACCAGGCCUUCCACCGCCCGUUCCCAUGGUGAAAACGAUACCAGCUCAUUCAUCUCUGAUCAAAAUUCAAGGAUGAGUUCAAUGUCAUUAUGAACUGCAACACCAUCAAGCAAACCUGCAAAUAGCUUCCUCAUCUAGUAAACCUUUGAGACUCCACCACCAGCACAAUUUAUAUAUUCCUCAUAAGCAAUGAUACGACAUUAUAAAUUGAGACUUAAAAUCAUUGUGUAAAGGCUGACUACAUUAAACAAAAUCAACACUUUGACUUGCCAUGUUAACAGACAGAACUCACACUUUCCUCAUGAGGUCAAAAUUAAUCUUUCAAUCAACCAAAAUUGAAAAUUAGGCAAGCUUUCCAAAUGAGCCUCUUAGCAACUACUAUGUAGCCAUAAUUGCUGCCUAUUCAUAGGAUCAUUCCCAAAGUGCAAUGCUCAUUUACAUUUGUCAUUUGAGAUGAUGCCUGAAAUGGAUUCUGUGCUCUGAGCUUUGUCUGUAAACACCUGCUUUAAUGAACUGGUUCAUUGCGGUGCUAUGAAAAUGUCAUUGCUGAUACAUUAAGAGCUGCCAUUUAUGACCACGUAAAGUCAGGCUAACUAUGUAUUACCACUGUCCCUGACAUCAACUCCAUAAAUGUUGUUUACAGUGUUAUUUAUCUCAUGCCGAAGUAUGCAAACUGCAGCUGCAUGCUUUCUAGUUGAGUGAAAGAAUGCUGAGAAACAUUGAUCGAUGGACUUUGAAUCCUCUUUUAAUUGCCCAUUGGCAUCAGUAGAUUGGCAUUUACUCUCUCUUUAAUAGUCAUCCAAAUAAACUAUUGAAAAAACAUUGGAAUGAGUUAACGUCGUCAGACUUUAUUGGAAUUGUUUAUCCUGAAGAGGGGAAGCAGCAGCAUAGUUAAUGGGGUGCAGAUGAGCCAAUAACGGUAUGAUGUAAUUCCUCCUUCAUUCCCCAAUUCAGGGGGAAAUGAUCAUCAAAUUAUAUUGCAUGUUCUAUGCAGAAAUCUAUUUGGAGUCUCAGGCUGUUACAUCUAUAGGUAUGGGAACUGUCUCCUCCGGACACCAUUGAUUAACAGAAUGGCUUAGAUAGGUGAUGUAUCAAUUGUUUGCAAGUGCUGACAAUUAAAAUGCUACCGUUGGCAUGAGGAGCUGUAUAUAGGCACAAAGCUUGUUCUUUUAAAUGUUUUGAGAAUCAGGUUAGAGACAAGGAGGAACCACAUGAAUUAAAAUGCCAAUGCCUCAAGGUGACUUUAGAAAAAAUAUGCCACGUGGCUUGCUUUGUGUCCUUUAUGACUUUUUAUCCCCCGUUCUAUCCUGUCACUGCCAAUGCCCCUGUACUCUUCAUGCUUUAUCUGAAACUCUCUCUUUAUUGCUGAUAAAUAAUC
rnacentral:lncRNA from 11 species